UACGGGGGGAGCAAGCGUUGUCCGGAUUUACUGGGCGUAAAGGGCGCGUAGGCGGUCGUGACAAGUCACUUGUGAAAUCUCCGGGCUUAACUCGGAACGGUCAAGUGAUACUGUCGGACUAGAGUACAGAAGGGGCAACUGGAAUUCUCGGUGUAGCGGUGAAAUGCGCAGAUAUCAGGAAGAACACCCGUGGCGAAGGCGGCUCUCUGGGACGGUACUGACGCUGAGACGCGAAAGCGUGGGGAGCGAACAGG
rnacentral:rRNA from 1 species